AAUCAACGCUGGCGGCGUGCCUAACACAUGCAAGUCGAACGAGAAAGCGGUAGCAAUACCGUGAGUACAGUGGCGCACGGGUGAGUAACACGUGGAUAACCUGCCUUUGAGCGGGGAAUA
rnacentral:rRNA from 1 species